AGCGCUCCUGGCUAGCCCGAGCUGCCCCCAGCGCCUGUUUCUGUCUAUCAAAGGAGGCAUGAGCACCUGCAUGUGAGUGGAAGAGGAGAAUCUCAGGAGUCAAGAAACUGUCUCCAUGAAGGAACGUGGCGUUGUUUUCCACAGGUGUUCAGGCGCCCUGUACUGCCUGAGCUACCCCCUCGCUGGGCAGAGGCCUAAUGUUGUGAUGAGCUCCUUCCCUGGGUGCUGCUCCCCCGCUCCGUGGUGCACAAGCUGCGCAGCACCGAGUCCUGUGCUCCUGACCCUGUGGAGGUGAAAAUAGCUGAGAAUUGCGACAGAGAAGAAUGAAGUGUUUACCAUCUAUUCAAAUGUGCCAUAGACACCACAGCCAAAAUAGUUCCACGGUGAGGAAGGGGAGAGAGUGCUGCAGCCUGCAUAGCUGGAGGACCUUUAGGAAUGGAAGAGGCAAGUCUGAGUGUGGGAAAGAAAGGCGAUGGAACAACACUGCUGGGUCAAGGGCACCUUCUUUGGGAAAAAGAAACAGCUCAG